CUUAUCUUAAAUGUUAUUAUGUCCAACAAUAUUUGUUUCCAAGGGAACCAGGAUCUUUGAUUUCGAGGAAAACUUUUUAUGACGUAAUACUGUGUGGAAUAAAAGGCCGCCGCAGAAAGGCGUUUUAACUGUUCGAAAUAUACUUUGCUCCUCCCCUGUGUGGGAGACUUUCCUGUCAUGUCUCUUUUUUAAUUCGUCCCGUUUUCUCGCGCUCCUAACAAGUUGUGUCUCGGUUCCAACAUUUGUUCACAUCCAGCGUAGAUGGGGAAUAAAUACACGUACUCCACUAGCUCUUAAUAAGUGAUAUUCUGAUAUAUUUUUCCUAAAACUUUAUAACGUACACUCGUAUUUCAAAGACAUGAUGGGUAAACUGACGUUGUGCAUGAGUUUUUUCUCGUGCUCCAACUUUUUACUUCUGAUGCUGUUCACUAUGGUCAACUGCAAGAAGUUCCGGAUGUGAGUACGUCUGGUGAGCUAGCUUACUUGGAAGGCCUCUCUGGGAAUAACAUCGCUAACUUCUUCGAGUCUGUUCCACCAGGAAUGAAAGAAAAGAGAAAUUCCUCACUGCAGAAAAUUCUCAGCCUUUUGAGAAAAAUAGCCUACCAUCGUCAACAGCCUGUCCACAUCAUUGGAAAACACAUGAGAUUUGGGAUAAGUAAGAAGUAGAAGUCUUACAGAAAGCGGGGAACAGGAACAGAUUGGUUUAAACUUUAAGAAUAUUCCGGAGACACUUUCUUGAGCUUUGCUUUAGUUGUAGUUUUUAAUGUAUUGUUAGUUAAUUGAAAAUGUAAUUGUAAAUUAGAUUUAGGAGUAAUAAGUAUAGCUAUAAUAAAAAUGGAUGUUUCUGUGAACCUAUACUUACUUUUAACAGCAUCAACUAAUUAGAUUUGAAGAAUAAAUAAGACACAUGGUCACUUGUGGGGAAAAAAUCAAACUGAAAGUUUCUUAGAAAAAAUUACAAUUUAAUUUUUAAAACCUUAUGAGGACAAUUUGUGUUAUCAUUUGAAAUAACGGAUUGUCGUACAUCGCCGAAGUGAAUCUAUGAUGAGACAGAAAAACAAUUGAUUAAAAUAUAUAAGAACAUGUAACGAGCCUAAUAAAACAUAAGAUACUUUGUAUAUAUUAGCUCAGUUAGUGUCUAUAUAUGUUAUGUCAAAUUGCAAACUUAAGUUGACUUUUGGUUUUAGUU